AACAAAGAAGUAAAUUUUACUUUUAGUUUCGGCCUAAAAAUAAAGGAAUUAUCCUUCGUGUUU
rnacentral:tRNA from 1 species